UCAUUCCUUAUUAUCUGUUAUUAUUGCUUGAGUUUUUGUUCCUAGGAAAUUUACCAAGAAAUAGAACUUAAAAAGUUUUACUAGCAAUAAUGCUUCCCCAUAUUUAUAUCUAUCUGUGGAAGUGGAUAUCAGAUGCUACUCUGUUUUUACUGCAUAGUGUGAGAAUGCUGCUUCAAGUUUGUAGGAAGUUACUUUCUGCAAGUGCAAAUGUUACCAAAGUAUCAAUGAAGAUGAAGGAAUUCCAGGCAGGAGCAGAUUGGGCAGGAAGGGUACAGUGUUUUAGUUCUUUGAUUUGAGUAAGGAAUAGAUUCUUAAACAAUAUGAUGUUGGAGAUGCAUGUGUAAUUGUUGAAGAUCCUCACAUUGAAGAUCUCAGCCAAGAAGUUAGAGGCUUCAUAUUCUCUAGAAUUCUGGUUCGUUUUUGAAAGUCAUAUUUGCCUCAAUUGCAAUUCCAUUUCAAAAUACUUUUGGUCACUUCUAUAGCUGCAUUAAUUGCUGAUCUUUCUCUCUAUACAUGAUCUACAUAUAUUUAGCAGAUGUUGUAUGUUUACCAGAGACCAUUAUAAUCUUUUAUUUUCUGGAUGGAGAAUCUUUUUUGGCUGAAAACUCAAGUUCGAAAAAUGUUUUCAAGCAAUCAUGAGUGGACUAUUGUUCAUUCUGUAGCAGCCUAUCACAUAUAGGAAAAUAAAGUUUUGCUUGCUCAGAAACAGAUUCUUGAUAGCAAAGACACAGACACUUGGCACGAACAUGACACAACAUAGAUAUAAUUACUAAAACAAGACAUAGACAUGGCGACAACAUUAUAAUAAUGAAAAUUACGUAUAAACAUGGGAAUAAUUAAAAAAUGUCCAUUGCAUAUUUCAGUUGUGGUAGCCAUGUCUAUGAUGCCAGUGUCUUGCAUUUCUUCCUUUAUCUAUUUAUUUGAAUAAAUGGUUGGGUGCUUUUAGGUAUGUUCAUCCUUUUAAUAAGGCUGUUCGUAUGGCUACAAUUGCUGGCCUUGUGUUUGAGUAAGUGCUAGCCGAUGCCCCAAAGUUGCAAAGCA